rnacentral:rRNA from 1 species
GACGAACGCUGGCGGCGUGCUUAACACAUGCAAGUCGAACGGAAAGGCCCUGCUUUUGUUGGUUUCUCGAGUGGCGAACGGGUGAGUAACACGUGAGUAACCUGCCCUUGACUUUGGGAUAUCUUCAGGAAACUCGGGCUAUUACCGGGUAUGAUCUCCUGCUCCAUGGUGUUGGUUGGAAAGUUUCGGCGGUUGGGGCUGUACUCGCGGCUUAGCAGCUUCUUGGGGUGGUAGUUGCUUACCAAGGCUUUGACGGGUAGCCGGCCUGGGAGGGUGACAGGCCACAGUGGGACUGGGAAAGGGCCAAGACUGAAACGGGAGGCAGCGGUGGGGAAUAUUGGACAAUGGGCGGAAGCAGGAUGCAGCAACGCCGGGUGGGGGAUGACGGCCUUCGGGUUGUAAACCGCGUUCGAGUGUGACGAAGCGUGAGGGACGGUAAUGGGUAAAGAAGCACCGGCAAAUUAGGU